CAGUGAGCGUCGGAGCCCAGGGUCCGCUGUGGUAUAAUCAGCUCUAUAUUAAUUCGAGAAGCAGACAGUGGCGACAUAGCAAGACACAGACACAAGUUUUAGUGUUAGCUGUCGCGAAGUUGAGUGGACACGCUUGUCUUGCAUCAUAAUGGUAUAUUUGUGCUGUCUACUCCUAUCGGCUGUGGUGUACGGAAGCCCGGUGGACACCUCAUCAUCGCUAGAUGUGCUACCACCUGAACCAGUGCCCACCCUCGACAAAGAAUUAGUUGGUUUCAGUAGAAAUUUUGAUAUAAAUCCCCUAACCAAUUACCUAAUCCAGUCUCUGGCACAGGAGUCGGACCAGAAGAGAAGAUAUCAGAGGUACAGGGACCUACACGAUCUGCAGAUGUUUCGUUACUCAUUGUUAAAUAAAGAACUUGUUUAGUUUUUA